UACGUAGGGGGCAAGCGUUGUCCGGAAUCAUUGGGCGUAAAGCGCGCGUAGGUGGCCUCAUAAGUCCGCUGUGAAAGUCAAAGGCUCAACCUUUGAAAGCCGGUGGAUACUGUGGGGCUAGAGUACGGAAGAGGCGAGUGGAAUUCCUGGUGUAGCGGUGGAAUGCGCAGAUAUCAGGAGGAACACCAAUAGCGAAGGCAGCUCGCUGGGACGUUACUGACACUGAGGCGCGAAAGCGUGGGGAGCGAACAGG
rnacentral:rRNA from 1 species